AGAUCCCACUAGGGGCGCCUCCGGGCUGAGAGGCAGUUAAAUGCCGACCCUAAGGACCUGAUCUGGAUCAUGCCAGCGUAGGGAAGUGGAAAAAUCGGACU
rnacentral:ncRNA from 2 species